UACGUAGGAUGCAAGCGUUAUCCGGAUUCACUGGGUUUAAAGGGUGCGUAGGUGGAUUUGUAAGUCAAAGGUGGAAGCCUGCAGCCUAACUGCAGAAGUGCCUUUGAUACUGCAAGUCUUGAGUACAGUUGAGGUAGGCGGAAUGUGUAAUGUAGCGGUGAAAUGCUUAGAUAUUACACAGAACACCGAUUGCGAAGGCAGCUUACUAAACUGUUACUGACACUGAGGCACGAAAGCGUGGGGAUCAAACAGG
rnacentral:rRNA from 1 species